rnacentral:lncRNA from 1 species
GAACUAUUUCCAAUAUGGAGUGAUAAACAAGGAAGUGAAAGACUAAUUUCCAAAGUACCAUCUCGAUUAUUUCUCAGUGAGGACAGUCAGUGGCAGGUAGCUCAGUUGGUUAGAGCAUCCCAGACAUGGAAGUACAAUGUCAUGGGGAGGUCUCAGGUUCGAAUCCUGACCUGGCACUUGUCCCGCCAAUUUACACUUCCAAAUUUUGAACACAUAAAAUUCUACGUUUGAUCUAAAAAUAUUUUUCAUAACACAGCUUAUUCAGAAAGUGUUUGGAGAUCUUGAGUGAUUGGUGCUUUGAUUUCUUGUCAUACAUUUUGUUGUUGAGCACAGUAUCGUUUAAAGUAUGAUACAAUGUUACAGUAUAAAUACAUGAAACUGUUAGUAUAUACUUAUGAGUUAUGUAACAUUUAGAAUUUUUCAUUUGAAAAACAGUUUGUCCUUUGAUUUAAACUACAGGACAACAGGCAAUACAAAUGGGAACCUGUUUCUUCUUUGUACAAACAUUUCCGAUGUAGUUUUAAAAGUGUAAUCAAAGUCAUUAGUAAAUUUAGAUGAACGGCGACCCAGAUCUGUAUAGGUACAUGAUCCUUUUAUACUUCUGAAUCAGCUAUAGGAUCUGUCAAAAAUUGUAACAGAUAGAAAUAUCUGCAAAAAGGAAUAUUUCGAAACUUAGUGAAGUUGUUAUUUUUUAUGAAAAUAACAGACAGUAUAGUGUAUCACUGAAAGGGGAAUGGAGGAAGGUCCCAUCUGGAGUGGAAAUUGCUUUCAAUCAACAAAAAGUGAAAAUAAUGUCUAAUGUUGUUUAAUAUACCACUUAUUGAAUAGCUUGCCAGUCAGUAGUCUUAACAUUAACCUUAUUUUCACUGUUGACCUGUAGAUAUUUCAAUAAUUUUAUUGUAUUGAAGUUGUCUGUUUAGGAUUUUAUAUGUUUACCUGAAGUAUUUGUUUGAUGUGUUUCCAUUUUCAAAACUCUGUUAAUUAAUAAAAAAAAUGGACGACAAGAUAGCAUGAGCUUUAAUGUUUGUACAAAUAAAACUGGAAUUUACAAAG